UACGGAGGGGGCAAGCGUUGUUCGGAAUUACUGGGCGUAAAGGGCGCGCAGGCGGCUGCUCAAGUCAGGCGUGAAAGGCCUGGGCUCAACCCGGGAAUUGCGCUUGAGACUGGGCUGGCUUGAGUGCGGGAGAGGAUGGUGGAAUUCCCAGUGUAGAGGUGAAAUUCGUAGAUAUCUGGAGGAACACCGGUGGCGAAGGCGACAUCCUGGACCGGUAUUGACGCUGAGGCGCGAAAGCCAGGGGAGCAAACGGG
rnacentral:rRNA from 1 species